rnacentral:rRNA from 1 species
AAUUUGAAAUCUGGCCCCUUCGGGGUCCGAGUUGUAAUUUGUAGAGAGCGCUUCGGGUGAGGCCGCGGUCUAAGUCCAUUGGAACAUGGCGUCGUAGAGGGUGAGAAUCCCGUAUGCGACCGCGGACCGAGCCUGCGUGAAGCCUCUUCGACGAGUCGAGUUGUUUGGGAAUGCAGCUCAAAAUGGGUGGUAUAUUUCAUCUAAAGCUAAAUAUUGGCUGGAGACCGAUAGCGCACAAGUAGAGUGAUCGAAAGAUGAAAAGCACUUUGGAAAGAGAGUCAAACAGUACGUGAAAUUGUUGAAAGGGAAGCGCUUGCAACCAGACCUGCCCGGGGGCGAUCAGCCGCUGUUCUCAGCGGUGCACUCGUUCCCCGAUCAGGCCAGCAUCGGUUUCGGCGGUCGGACAAAGGCUCCGGGAAUGUAGCUCCCCUCGGGGAGUCUUAUAGCCCGGGGUGCAAUGCGGCCAGCCGGGACCGAGGACCGCGCUUCGGCUAGGAUGCUGGCGUAAUGGUUGUCAGCGACCCGUCUUGAAACACGGACCAAGGAGUCUAACAUCUAUGCGAGUGUUUGGGUGUCAAACCCACGCGCGGAAUGAAAGUGAACGGAGGUGAGAACCCCCCGGGGCGCAUCAUCGACCGAUCCAGAUGUCUUCGGAUGGAUUUGAGUAUGAGCAUAGCUGUUGGGACCCGAA